UUGUUCUUCUUUGCUCAUUAUAAUCGGGUCAAAUGGGAUGCACACAAACCCCUGGCGGAAAUGAUAAGAGCCAAUGGAGAUGGCCAUAACCAUGACCCAUCCCAACUGGAAAAUUACCAGUUAGGAUUUUUUACAGCCCAUCAAACGGAGCCAUUCCAUCCAGCAGUGAGAGGCAGGAUCAAAGCCGGCUUGACAUCAUGCUGGCUGCUCAGGGGAUGGGAAAUGCCGAAGGCAGCAUCAACUCUGGGAUUUAGAGCCUUAUGCAGUCCAAUGGCCCUGGGAGGUUCCCAGCAGGGAUAUCCCCAUCUCCAGCCUCGUUGUGGCCCAUUCAUCUCAAGCUCAGGUGGGUUUCCAGAGCACUGAAUCCAUCACCUGGCUCACGUCUGUCCUCACUGGACCAAAUGGGUAGUUCUCCAUCUCUGGUUCCAAAGACUGAGAUUCUGGAUAGCUCCUUCCUGGUGCUCAGCUGAUUUGUAGAUAACCACAGCCAAAGGCAUAAAGUAUAUUGAGCACUCUGGGGUUCUCGUGUCCUUGAUGAGGAGGGAUGCUCUUGUACCUUCUUACAAAACUGGUUCCUUAAACCAUGCCCAUACCCGCCCUGGUUCCCACCCUCUGACAAUGCAUGAGCAUGUCCUAAGGACUAGUGCAAGAGCAAACCUUGGCAAGCUAACCAACGAUAGGUGAUGCUGAUGUUCUCUUGUUGAAGGAACUAAUACAGGGAGUUUUCUUUUGAAAAAUGGGAGUCCUAUGAGUUGAUCUAGCUUGCCUUUCCUAUCCCUCUUCCCUUCCCUGCCUCUCAGAUCGGGUGUUUGGCUUUUCAGCGCUUUCACUCAAGCCAAAUCUGCAAGCACAUUUUUGGGUGGAUGUCACCAGGAUCCACUUCCUCCUGGCCCACAGACAGUCUGUCUCUUAUCUCACAUUAGUAUCAAUUAUUUACAGCAGUAAUGUUAAAUCAUGAAAACGAGGUUGCAGCAAAGCUGUGCCUUGGCUAAUGCCCCAUGCUGCCUGCAGCUUUUGGAGCCCUUGCGUUGUCUGCAUUUAACCUUCCAGAGAUGUGAUCCUAGAUAUAUUCCAUAUCUCAUGGCUGCAGGUUAGAGCAGGGGCAAGGCACCCACAUCCUCCAUGGCAUUUCUCUCCUUCCUUCUACCAGUGCCAUAGCACUUCUCAUAGCCUAUCAUUUGGGGGAAAGAAGCUCCCUCUGUGUUCACUCUGAUGCCAUGAGCUCUGAGCAGCGUGCUCAUGUUGGCACACAGUCCCUCACCAACUCCUUCAACAACUGCCUGCAUAAGGGAUUUUUUUUUUUUUUUGAUUCAUAGUAUUUAACCAUGAAUAUUUAAAAUCUCUGUUAAAUAGGGUUGUUAUACAGCUUAGAACAACAUAAAUACAAGUGUCUGGGCUUUACUUUGGAUCCAGGACAGCAGAAGUGCUUUACCUCUGAUGGAAAGUGCACCACUGAGUGAGGUGACGCUCAGUCUCCUGACCUUGGAACAGUGCCUACUUUUAGACUUCCAGUAACUCAGUAUUUUUCAGCUAAAUCCCUGCUUGCACCAGAGGAGCAAUCCUUUUCUAGCUGUGCUUCAACUGCUCACCUGGCACAUUCCCGCUCUGCUAGCUGCAGUUCUGGGAAGUGAAAAGAAACCUGAGGAGGUAAAAAGAAUGAAAAAAAAAAAUGAAAUUUGGAUGUAGAUACUGUGCAGGAAGUGAGGUGACCCCUAAAUCAUAGAAUUAUGGAGUCAUAGCACCAUUAACAUUGGAAGAGACCUCUGAGAUCCCCAAGUCCAACCCCACCCCAUCCCACGGUGCCCACUGCCCACGUCCCUCAGUGCCACAUCUCCACACUUCCAGAACACCUCCAGGGACAGUGACUCCACCACCUCCCUGGGCAGCUGUGCCUCUGCAUCACUGUUCUUUCUGGAAAGAAAUUUUUCCUAAUAUCCAAUCUUAUCCUUCCCUGGUACAACUUAGACAGCUGCCUGCAUGGUCCUGUUGAGCUGAGGCAGAGCUUGCCUUGGCCAGGCCUUUCCCAUUGCUCAGGGGAUGCUGAGGCAUUGAACAAGCUCCGAGCUCAGCAGGUUCUCUGCUGUUGCUCACCCAUGGGAUUUAGGGGAGAUGCAGGUGUCCCCUACAAGGGAGGAUGGAGAACAGGAAGACUGUUUUAAUUUUGAGCUCCUGUGAGUCACUUCAUUAGCCCUGCCUCUGCUUGACCCUCCUGCUGUUAUAUCAGCCUGACUGUUUAUUUUCCUCAUAAAACUAAAACAAGAUCGAUUGCUUUGUCCCGAGGCCCUUUAUGUGUCUUGGUGCCCACUGCAGCCCUGCCGUUAGCAGCAGGCCUAAUGCAAAUUGAAUCUUUGGGAAACGGGCAGUUUGGAGCUGCCCAUCUUCCUCCUCUUUCCUGCUUAAGUUUCAUCUAUUGCAUUUAAAAUAGAAACUUUAUCUAUUUAUUCUAAACAUAAAUAUGCAAUUUUCUUGCUGUCUAUAUGUGCACGGCGUGUCUCUGUUGUAGACACAUAUAUGCGAUCAAUAACCAUCUCUUGCUGGGGAUUUAAAUAUUAGUUUUCCAAAUCCAGUCUAGAGCACCAGAUUUAUUUUUAUGAAAAUAUACCCUUUCUUGCUUAAGGAGGGAUAUUAAUUAUAGAUGCAAACCCAUAAAUCUUCCGGAUUUAGGUGAGAUAUUUGCUGGAUUAUAAAUAUGAAUUGGAGAUGAGGGUCUUGCUCUUCCUAUUAUUACUAUUAUUAUUACUUACUGGUUAUUAUUUCGGUGUGAUCAGUAUCUUCGGGUGGGUCAAAUAUUGCUGGGGAAUGGGGAGCUGAGCCUUCAGAGGGUGCGCAUGCUGAAUUCAUUAAAAUGUUUUCUAUUCCACCCUUGCUCUCCACUGCGCUUCGCAGCCCGGUGAGUCAUUAAACACCCUGUUCAGAUCACUUCCCUUUCUCUCCAUCCUUCUUUUGGUACCUGUUUUCAUUGUGCUGCUUUUGCCAGAUCAUAUCAAGCUCCCUAGUGUUUAUUAAUAAUGUCCCACAUGCUAUUGACAAUGUGCUGUUGUUUCCGAGGGUCUGCUUCAAUACCAGUCUUGGGCAGCAGUGAAACCAGCGGCCAUCAGAGAGCCCAGACUCACCCAGGGCUUUGGCACAGCUGCACUGAAAGAUGUCACUGGGGCUUACAAGACAGCCCCCAGGAGAAGCCAAAGGGUAGUUCUGGAGAUGCCCAAGAGUCGUCUGCACCAAAGGCUUUUGUGAGGAACUUCCAUGAAAGGAGAAAUUCCAGCAGCUUCUGAACCACAGAGCCAUUCCUCUGGCAGAGCUGAGGUGCCCAUGAGAGUCACCACUGAGGCUGACCACGAUCCAAAAGGAGGGGGUCGUCCCACUCAGUGCUCAGGGAUGAUGUCUUAAAUACUCAUAAUUAAGGCCAUCAAGAAAUCAGGGGAGGCGAAUCCUGUUCAUGCCGUGUGGGUCUCUGAGUGUUCAUUUAAAGAGUGAUCUUUGGUGGAUCUGAGAUAUACAUAAAAACAAAACAAAAACAAAUCC